rnacentral:rRNA from 1 species
UACGAGGGGGGCUAGCGUGCUCGGAAUCACUGGGCGUAAAGCGCACGUAGGCGGCUUGUUAAGUCAGGGGGUGAAAUCCUGGAGCUCAACUCCAGAACUGCCUUUGAUACUGAGAGCUUGAGUCCGGGAGAGGUGAGUGGAACUGCGAGUGUAGAGGUGAAAUUCGUAGAUAUUCGCAAGAACACCAGUGGCGAAGGCGGCUCACUGGCCCGGUACUGACGCUGAGGUGCGAAAGCGUGGG